AGCGAUAGCUGGUUUCUCAAGAAAAGAAUUUUAGUCCAACCCAAAGUAACCCCGAUCCCCACUAAUCAACACCUUACUUUAGAGCAAUUCAAAUGAGGUACAGCCCAUUUGACAAAGGAUACAACCUUCACUAACGGGUAACAUUCUAUUUGCAUCUUCAAGUAGGCUUAAGAGCAGCCACCUUUUNUAAAAGCGUCAAAGCUUAAUUACGUUCACUCUAAUUUAAAAACCAACAUCGACCCCUUUAAUAAUAUUGAGAACUUCUAUAAUAUUAUAGAACCUUUUAUGCUAAAACUAGUAACAAGAGAAAGCUCCUCUCUUUAAUGCCAACAUACGCCAGCAAGAACCCCUCGCCGGCAAUUAACAGACCUAAACAAAAGUAGCAACCUCACCAGAAAACCCUACUUUUUCUCCUGUUAACCUAACGCUAGAGCAUUUCAAGAAAGAUUAAAAGAAAAAGAAGGAACUCGGCAAACCUUAGCCCCGCCUGUUUACCAAAAACAUCGCCUCUUGACUCCAUAAGAGGUACAGCCUGCCCAGUGACUCUGUUCAACGGCCGCGGUAUCCUAACCGUGCGAAGGUAGCGUAAUCACUUGUUUUCUAAAUAAAGACCAGUAUGAAAGGCAUCACGAGGACUAAACUGUCUCCUUUUUCUAAUCAGUGAACCUAAUUUCCCCGUGAAGAAGCGGGGGUAUAUCUAUAAGACGAGA
rnacentral:rRNA from 1 species